UGUUCUCUGUAUUGUACGUGUACAGGCUGCGUAACCCUUGAGCCUAUAAUUAAUGUAACUGGGAACUAAUCUGUUGGCAAUGUUGUGCAAAUCCGCGUAGAUGCGGAAAGCCUGAUUUGCUGCGAGAGGUUCCACCUUGAACCUUUGGUUCAAGUGUACGGGCUGUAGCGGCAUUGUGGAGAACAC
rnacentral:other from 1 species